AGCAAAGUGAGGGUAGUGAGUGACAGCCCGAACCUGUGGCGCACUCAUUAAUUCCAACAGCAGAGCUGUGAUUGAUGUGUCAGCUCCCUGCUGCUCUGCGAUUCGGGCGGCUGGUUCCACCUUACGUCUGCUGUUACUGCUGCAAUCCCAGCUGCGGAAGGGGAGAAGAGGAGGAAAGAGCACGGAGGAGGGGAAGGGAAAAUGCCUGGGCAGAUCCACCUCAGUGCUGUGGCUGUCUUGGCACGGCCCCCAGGCAGCUUUCCCUCCUGGAGGCAGUCAUGGCCAUGGGAGGUAGUGAGACAUGAGGCGAGGAGAGCACCAGCUGUGACACCACGAUCUGAGGUUUCAUCCAUCGCUGUCUGCCGGUGUGAAUCAAGACUUCUCAUCCCUCCUCCUGAGGAGAGCAGCUACCCAUGAAGCAGCUUCCCCACGUGAAGUUACAGGAGCAAAGGAAGAUCCAACAUGAAUUCCCCAGCCAGGAUUUCACUUGGGUUGUUGGCAUCAGUAUUUGUACAAACCACCAUGCAUCCUCCCUGGAAACAGAGAACAAAUCCCUCCAGAGCUGUCAGAGCAGCUUGGUGGCUGCAUGCACCAUGGAUGGCACCAAGCAUGGAAGAACCCUCCCUCUUCUUGGUCAACCCUUCUUCUGGGUGCUUUAAUUCUGUGCAAGGACCCCUUUUCUCCACUGAAAUGCCUCUAUGUUGCCACCAG
ensembl:lncRNA